rnacentral:rRNA from 1 species
AUUGAACGCUGGCGGCAGGCCUAACACAUGCAAGUCGAGCGGAGCGGCGGACGGGGGAGUAAUGCCUAGGAAUCUGCCUGUGCGUGGGGGAUAACGUCCGGAAACGGGCGCUAAUGCUGCAUACUAUCAGAUGAGCCUGGGUCGGAUUAGCUUGUUGGUGGGGUAAAGGCCUACCAAGGCGACGAUCCCUACCUGGUCUGGGAGGAUGAUCAGUCACACUGGAACUGAGACACGGUCCAGACUCCUACGGGAGGCAGCAGUGGGGAAUAUUGGACAAUGGGCGAAAGCCUGAUCCAGCCAUGCCGCGUGUGUGAAGAAGGUCUUCGGAUUGUAAAGCACUUUAAGUUGGGAGGCGUUACCAACAGAAUAAGCACCGGCUAACUCCGUGCCAGCAGCCGCGGUAAUAC